UACGUAGGGUGCAAGCGUUGUCCGGAUUUAUUGGGCGUAAAGAGCUCGUAGGCGGUCUGUUACGUCGGUUGUGAAAACUCGGGGCUUAACCCCGAGCCUGCAUCCGAUACGGGCAGACUUGAGUGUGGUAGGGGAGACUGGAAUUCCUGGUGUAGCGGUGAAAUGCGCAGAUAUCAGGAGGAACACCGAUGGCGAAGGCAGGUCUCUGGGCCACAACUGACGCUGAGGAGCGAAAGCGUGGGGAGCAAACAGGAUUAGAUACCCUGGUAGUCCACGCCGUAAACGGUGGGCGCUAGGUGUGGGGAACAUUCCACGUUCUCCGUGCCGCAGCUAACGCAUUAAGCGCCCCGCCUGGGGAGUACGGCCGCAAGGCUAAA
rnacentral:rRNA from 1 species